rnacentral:rRNA from 1 species
GUCUAUGGCCAUUCCGCCCUGAACUUUCCCCAUCUUGUCUGACUUCUUAAGCCAAGCAGGGUCGGGCCAGGUUAAUACUUGGACGGGAGAAAGUUGUGGUUAUACC